UACGUAGGGUGCAAGCGUUAAUCGGAAUUACUGGGCGUAAAGCGUUGCGCAGACGGUUGCGUUAAGUCAGAUGUGAAAGCCCCGGGCUCAACCUGGGAAUUGCAUUUGAGACUGCGUAGCUAGGGUGCGGAAGAGGGAAGCGGAAUUUCCGGUGUAGCGGUGAAAUGCGUAGAUAUCGGAAGGAACACCAGUGGCGAAAGCGGCUUCCUGGUCCAGCACCGGACGUUCAGGCACGAAAGCGUGGGGAGCAAACAGG
rnacentral:rRNA from 1 species